GUAUGUUCGAGAGCGGCCUGGCGUUGCGGAUCUUGUCCAGCAGCCUGUCGAGGAUGAGAUUCGCUUCGCCCACGGUGG
rnacentral:sRNA from 1 species